rnacentral:rRNA from 1 species
CCUACGGGAGGCAGCAGUGAGGAAUAUUGGUCAAUGGGCGAGAGCCUGAACCAGCCAAGUCGCGUGAAGGAUGACGGUCCUACGGGUUGUAAACUUCUUCUGUCAGGGAGCAAUUGGGCUCACGCGUUGGCUUAGCGAGAGUACCUGAAGAAAAAGCAUCGGCUAACUCCGUGCCAGCAGCCGCGGUCAUACGGAGGAGGCGAGCGUUAUCCGGAUUUAUUGGGUUUAAAGGGUGCGUAGGCGGAAUAUCAAGUCAGCGGUAAAAAUUCGGGGCCCAACCACGUCGUGCCGUUGAAACUGAUGUUCUGGAGUGGGCGAGAGGUAUGCGGAAUGCGUGGUGUAGCGGUGAAAUGCGUAGAUA